rnacentral:rRNA from 1 species
ACGGGAGGCAGCAGUGGGGAAUAUUGGGCAAUGGGCGAAAGCCUGACCCAGCAACGCCGCGUGAAGGAAGAAGGCCUUCGGGUUGUAAACUUCUUUUACCAGGGACGAAGGACGUGACGGUACCUGGAGAAAAAGCCACGGCUAACUACGUGCCAGCAGCCGCGGUAAUACGUAGGGGGCAAGCGUUAUCCGGAUUUACUGGGUGUAAAGGGAGCGUAGACGGCAAGGUAAGUCUGAAGUGAAAUGCCGGGGCUCAACCCCGGAACUGCUUUGGAAACUAUCUCGCUCGAGUACCGGAGGGGUAAGCGGAAUUCCUAGUGUAGCGGUGAAAUGCGUAGAUAUUAGGAGGAACACCAGUGGCGAAGGCGGCUUACUGGACGGUAACUGACGUUGAGGCUCGAAAGCGUGGGGAGCAAACAGGAUUAGAUACCCUGGUA